rnacentral:rRNA from 1 species
UCGGGAAUUUUGGGCAAUGGGCGAAAGCCUGACCCAGCAACGCCGCGUGAAGGAUGAAGUAUUUCGGUAUGUAAACUUCGAAAGAAUAGGAAGAAUAAAUGACGGUACUAUUUAUAAGGUCCGGCUAACUACGUGCCAGCAGCCGCGGUAAUACGUAGGGACCAAGCGUUGUUCGGAUUUACUGGGCGUAAAGGGCGCGUAGGCGGCAAUUCAAGUCAUCUGUGAAAUCUCCGGGCUUAACUCGGAACGGUCAGAUGAUACUGCUUUGCUAGAGUGCAGAAGGGGCAAUCGGAAUUCUUGGUGUAGCGGUGAAAUGCGUAGAUAUCAAGAGGAACACCUGAGGCGAAGGCGGGUUGCUGGGCUGAUACUGACGCUGAAGCGCGAAAGCUAGGGUAGCAAACGGGAUUAGAUACCCCUGUAGUCCCUGAGCGGGCUGGCAAGGCGCAU